rnacentral:lncRNA from 1 species
CCUAGUGUUGAUGCAUGCACGACAAGACUCUCAUGCCCAUCCCUUACCACCACACAACCUCUCUCUAUGGACCCACUAUCUUCAUCUUUUUCUCUCCACCAAAACAAUCAUUACAGCUACCACUAAUCUCUCUCUUCCUCCAUAACCAAACUCACAAUCCCAUUCCUUUCAUCUUUUUACUUGGGCUCCGUUUAUUUACAGGAAAGUGAAUUUUUUUUGGAAAGUGAAUUCUGGAGAAAGUGAAUUUCUGAAAAGUAAAUUCCGGAAAAGUAUUUUCCGAUGUUUGGUAGUGUUAUGGAAAAUGAACUGGAAAACACUUUCCAGUGUUUGGUUGUAUUAUGGAAAAUGAACUGGAAAAUAAUUUAUUAAUGAAUUGAUUUUUUUUUCAAAUUUAUCUAAUAUAUAUAUAAAAUAUUUAAUAUAAAAUAUUUAAUCACUUACAAUAAAAAAAAUGAAAUCUAAAAUGUAUAAUGAUGAUUUUUUUUUUUAUAUUCUAUAUUCAUACAUAGCUUAUUUUAUAAAAUAUAACUAUAUAUAUCAUAUCAUAUUAUAGAGAAAUAAGCUUGUGAAUUUUUUUUUACUAUUCCAUGAAACUAUUUAUAAUUCCAUUACGUACGAAAUACAUCUGACAAAACCUAUAGUUUUAAUAAUAUUUUUAGCAUGUAAUAAAAUUGGAUAAAAUAUUAAGGUAUAAAAUUCACUCUAAACUAUUUUUUUUAAAUAUUAAAAAAAUAGCACACUGUAAAAAAAAAAAUCUCACAAGCACGUGAACAGUGCAAGAAAACUGCAUUGUUCACUAUUUUUCAAUGAACAGUAUACGCAAUACACUGUUCAUGUUAAUUGCACUUUUCAUUGAACAGUGCAAUUAACAUGAACAGUUGCUUUUCACCUCUGGCCACUGUCGGAAAGUGUUUUCCUUUCUUUAACGGAAGGAAAACACUUUCCUUUCUCAAUGUUAUUAAUUUUAAGUUGACCGGAAACCACUUUCCUUUGACCACUUUCCUUUGUUGCUGCCAAACACAGGAAAAGCAGGAAAGUGAAUUCCGGGAAUUCACUUUCCUGCAAUCAAACACAGCCUUGAUUAACCACCACCACCACAACUCAGCCCUGAAUGCCACCAUGAGCCACCAUAAAAAUUGAAUCACUACAUCACAUCGAAAGAGAAAAAGAAGAGAGAAACAACAAAGAUCACAAUUCUUCUCAACCCAAUCUUCGAUCAUGAGUGAUGGUGGAUUACAUUAUGGGUGUAGAAAAGAAAAAGAAGAAGAAGAAGAUGCCAUAAUCUAUUAACCCAUAAGCCUUCCCACUUUGCCGACACAUGCAACGAUUCUCCAUAAUCUAGCUUGUUUGUCUACAUGUGCAACCCAUACGUCUCCACUGCCAGACCAAUUUUCAGUGCUUUCUAGUCAACUCUAGC